CCUACGGGUGGCAGCAGUGGGGAAUAUUGGGCAAUGGAGGCAACUCUGACCCAGCAACGCCGCGUGAGCGAUGAAGGUCUUCGGAUUGUAAAGCUCUUUAAGCGGGGACGAAGAAAGUGACUGUACCCGCAGAAUAAGCCUCGGCUAACUACGUGCCAGCAGCCGCGGUAAUACGUAGGCGGCAAGCGUUAUCCGGAAGGACUGGGCGGAAAAGGUGCGUAGGUGGUUUGGCAAGUUGGUAGCUUAAACCCGGGGCUCAAACGCGGUUCUACUACCAAACCUGGUGAACUUGAGUGCAGGAGGGGUGAAUGGAAUUCCCAGUGUAGCGGUGGAAUGCGUAGAUAUUGGGAAGAACACCAGCGGCGAAAGCGAGUCACUGGACUGUAACUGACACUGAGGCACGAAAGCGUGGGGAGCAAACAGGAUUAGAUACCCCUGUAGUC
rnacentral:rRNA from 1 species